rnacentral:rRNA from 1 species
UACGAAGGGGGCUAGCGUUGCUCGGAAUCACUGGGCGUAAAGCGCACGUAGGCGGCUUUUUAAGUCAGGGGUGAAAUCCUGGGGCUCAACUCCAGAACUGCCUUUGAUACUGAGAAGCUUGAGUCCGGGAGAGGUGAGUGGAACUGCGAGUGUAGAGGUGAAAUUCGUAGAUAUUCGCAAGAACACCAGUGGCGAAGGCGGCUCACUGGCCCGGUACUGACGCUGAGGUGCGAAAGCGUGGGGAGCGAACAGG